UGAACGCUGGGCGAGCUGCGGCGGGAAGAGUGGGGGGGUAGGCGUUUUUUGGAAUUACUGGGCGGAAAGCGGGCUUAGGCGGAUCGGUUUGUCCGUAAGUGAAAUCCCGCCGCUCAACGGCGGGGCUGCUUGGGAAACGGCAGGUCUGGGGACCGGUAGAGGUCGGUAGAAUUCCCGGUGUAGCGGUGGAAUGCGUAGAGAUCGGGAAGAAUACCCGUGGCGAAGGCGGCCGACUGGGCCGGAUCCGACGCUAAUGCGCGAAAGCGUGGGGAGCAAACAGGAUUAGAUACCCUAGUAGUC
rnacentral:rRNA from 1 species